rnacentral:rRNA from 1 species
UACAGAGGGUGCAAGCGUUGUUCGGAAUUACUGGGCGUAAAGCGUGCGCAGGCGGUUCGUUAUGUCCGAUGUGAAAGCCCCGAGCUCAACUUGGGAAUGGCAUUGGAAACUGGCGGGCUGGAGUGUGGCAGAGGGGGGUGGAAUUCCACGUGUAGCAGUGAAAUGCGUAGAGAUGUGGAGGAACACCGAUGGCGAAGGCAGCCCCCUGGGCCAACACUGACGCUCAGGCACGAAAGCGUGGGGAGCAAACAGG